rnacentral:rRNA from 1 species
GAUGAACGCUGGCGGCGUGCCUAAUACAUGCAAGUCGAGCGAACAGACGAGGAGCUUGCUCCUCUGACGUUAGCGGCGGACGGGUGAGUAACACGUGGAUAACCAACCUAUAAGACUGGGAUAACUUCGGGAAACCGGAGCUAAUACCGGAUAAUAUAUUGAACCGCAUGGUUCAAUAGUGAAAGACGGUUUUGCUGUCACUUAUAGAUGGAUCCGCGCCGCAUUAGCUAGUUGGUAAGGUAACGGCUUACCAAGGCAACGAUGCGUAGCCGACCUGAGAGGGUGAUCGGCCACCAUGGAACUGCGACACGGUCCAGACUCCUACGGGAGGCAGCAGUAGGGAAUCUUCCGCAAUGGGCGAAAGCCUGACGGAGCAACGCCGCGUGAGUGAUGAAGGUCUUCGGAUCGUAAAACUCUGUUAUUAGGGAAGAACAAAUGUGUAAGUAACUAUGCACGUCUUGACGGUACCUAAUCAGAAAGCCACGGCUAACUACGUG